UACGUAGGGUGCAAGCGUUGUCCGGAAUUAUUGGGCGUAAAGAGCUCGUAGGCGGUUUGUCGCGUCUGCUGUGAAAACUCGGGGCUUAACUCCGGGCCUGCAGUGGGUACGGGCAGACUAGAGUGCGGCAGGGGAGACUGGAAUUCCUGGUGUAGCGGUGAAAUGCGCAGAUAUCAGGAGGAACACCGGUGGCGAAGGCGGGUCUCUGGGCCGAUACUGACGCUGAGGAGCGAAAGCGUGGGGAGCGAACAGG
rnacentral:rRNA from 1 species